rnacentral:lncRNA from 1 species
CAGCUCUCCUCCACUGCAAUCCUUCUGCUGCCUCUCCUGCCUGCAGUACCUGGGGCUGAGGAGACCAGGAGAGAGGCAGCUGCCCUAGCAGACAUCCAGAAAUCCAGGAUUUAAGGUGGAACUCACUGACUGCUCUCACCAAACCUGUGAAAAAUGCAGCACCAGAAGUGGAGCCCUGAGCUGAAAGGCUUGGAGCUUGGAUGAGAUUUUGAGCUAAAUUCUAACAGAAAGACAUCCAGAGGGUUCAUGCAGUGGAGAAGUUCUGUUCCACAAAAUGAGCUAAUGUGCUGAUGACAGCAUGGAGAGUAAAAC